rnacentral:rRNA from 1 species
UACAGAGGGUGCGAGCGUUGUCCGGAAUCACUGGGCGUAAAGGGCGCGUAGGUGGCGACCCAAGUCAGUGGUGAAAGCUCGAUGCUCAACAUCGAGUCGGCCACUGAUACUGGGUUGCUUGAGCACUGUAGAGGCAGAUGGAAUUCCGGGUGUAGCGGUGAAAUGCGUAGAUAUCGGGAGGAACACCAGUGGCGAAGGCGAGUCUCUGGGAUGAUGCUGACGCUGAGGCGCGAAAACCAGGGGAGCAAACGGG